GACGAACGCUGGCGGCGUGCUUAACACAUGCAAGUCGAACGGAAAGGCCCUGCUUUUGUGGGGUGCUCGAGUGGCGAACGGGUGAGUAACACGUGAGUAACCUGCCCUUGACUUUGGGAUAACUUCAGGAAACUGGGGCUAAUACCGGAUAGGAGCUCCUGCUGCAUGGUGGGGGUUGGAAAGUUUCGGCGGUUGGGGAUGGACUCGCGGCUUAUCAGCUUGUUGGUGGGGUAGUGGCUUACCAAGGCUUUGGCGGGUAGCCGGCCUGAGAGGGUGGACGGCCACAUUGGUCCUGAGAUACGGCCCAGACUGCUACGGGAGGCAGCAGUGGGGAAUAUUACACAAUGGGCGGAAGCCUGAUGCAGCAACGCCGCGUGCGGGAUGACGGCCUUCGGGUUGUAAACCGCUUUCGCCUGUGACGAAGCGUGAGUGACGGUAAUGGGUGAAGAAGCACCGGCUAACUACGUG
rnacentral:rRNA from 1 species